UGCACGCCUAAUCGCCUAAUUUUCUUCGAGUGAUCUGGAUGCCGUACUCUUGGGCUGUGGAACAUUUUAUAAAUAGCUGUGCUUGGAGUUAAUAUGAUUUACUGGAGAGAGACCGGUUAAGCAAUUCCCCACCUAAGUAGAGCAGUAAUGAACAGGCUCUGGAGAAGAUGCCUUCCCCACCGGCCUUGAGAGGGGUGGGCAGGGAAGCGGGGAUGCAGAGGGACGAUGUUUAUUUGUGUGCGUGCACAGAGUGUCAUUGAUUUUUAAUUGUAUUAAAAGCACUGCAGUAGCCACAGGCUGCCUCUAGGACUGGACUUUUCCCUCCCAUAUGCGCUGGGAAGCUGUGGCCUCUCUUUCCUGCUAAAGGCUUGCUGCCUUCACAAAAUCCCAUUGCGGGCGUGAGUGAGGAUGGCAGAACCCUGACCGAACAGCACAGCCCUCCCCCUUGUCCAUCCACCAGGGAGGGGACAGACAAUCCAUGUUUGGCCGGGGGACUCAGCAGUGCCUGGGAAUACAGGAGAGUGGAUGGCAGCGAUGCUCCUGCCAACACCAAUGGCAUUGAGAAUGCAGCGAGAGCAGCACUGGGGUCUUGUGUCUUCUCUCCCCAUCCUCAGACAAAAGUCACACUGGGAUAAUGCCCCAGGGCUUGGUGGAGCAGUUCUGGGAGCAGGAGGGGCUCUCCAGCAAAUGAAGGGGUAAGAAGAAGCUUAGAGACCACAACAGAGACUUCUCAGCUUAGAAAACAAGAAAAGGAGAAAAUAGAUCAGCUUCAAAGCAAAAAGCAGUGGAGAAAUUGCAGGAAAGCUGCCCAAGGCCAGACCUAUCUCCAUGCAGCAGCCAUCAGAGGCUGUGAAUGAGAACAACACUCUCCCCAUUGUAACAGAGAAGCUCGAUGCUCAUGGACAUACAGAAGGCAGGGGACACUUAGCCCUGUGCAGGGACAGAGAGAGAGGUCCCAGCCCACAGGGCUCACCCUGGCCCGGACACCAUUUAGUCACUGCCCCCUGGGGAAAGGACAGAGCCUCAAACCAACCCAUGGCAACAAGCUGCCCCUAUCCAUAAGGCAGCAUCCCUGGGAGUGGGACCACGUGUGCUGCAGCAUGGGGGCUCAGUCCUGCUCCCAGCCCCGCUCAGACUGCGGCACCCACCGGGAUCCCCAGCAGCUACCGGCCGUCAGCCACAUCCCCACGAGGUGCCUGGGGGAAGUUUGGCUGCUAACCAUGUUGCUGAUUGGUAUAGCCAAAUACCUACCUCUAAGGGAAAAGAAAAAAACUGAAAAAGCCUUUCUCCAGCACGGAGACACAAGCAACGACAGGGGAAGCAGGUAAUUAGCUAUGUGAUGGAGCAAUCCGCUCCUGCCGAGGAAAUUCUUGGCACCGGAAUUCUGCCACAUGAGAACAUGUGUGUACCCAAGUGAGGAUCGAUUUAUUUUAUUUUCUUAUUUGCUUCAUUUAUACAUUUUUUAAUGAAGAUCAUUAUAUGUUUUUUAAAUGUCAAAUGCAGGAGAACUGGAAGGGGUGGGGGUGGGGGAACUGUGGGCAUUCUUCACUUCAGAAGCCUGAAUGUUUCAAAGUUGCUGCUGUGCUGUUAGCUGACGGCUAUUGUGUGUGUUUAAGGCUGGGGGGGCGCAAGGAGGGGGCUCUGACCCCCCGUUGGUGUGGAUUUGCUGUCCAAAGACCGUUAGAAAGAGGCAGAAUGAAUGAGAUUGAAUGGAAUUGUAAUGCACAAGGCCCUCCUCCUUUCUCAAGGAGCUGGGAGGCCAGGAAAGCGAGUCGUGGGGAGAGCAGGCAGCUUUCUUACACAUAGGAAGAGGCUUUGCAAAUCAUCAAAUGGUCGGCCGAGAAGACCAAAAGGAGAAAAAGAGAGAGAGAAAGAGGGAGAGAGGAGACUUGAUAGAAAAAUCUGAUUCCCAAAACUCUUCUUGCCUACACAAAAACAGCAUCCUGAGCCACGGGAGGGCGUUUGCAUUGGAUCUGAGCGAGGCAGCAGAGUUUGUGCCGCCGGAGCCACAGCGCGCUGCUUCCACUGGAGUGGCCUCACUCUUUUCUUGUGCAGAGGCUCAGAGCGCAGCCCGCUGCGCUGCGGGGUCACAACGCGGGGCCGUGGUACCGUCCCCUUUGCACCCCGACAACGCGCAGAAUUAAAUCACGAGCCCGCUUUUGCUUCUCCGAAAGCCGAAUGGGUGCAGCGACGUGAGGGGCUGCAGCAUCACAGCCGCCCCGGUGCCACCUCCGCCGCCGCGCCGUCACCGCAGCCUCAAGGUGAGACGCGGCCCCUUCCGCAGUUUCCCCGCGGCGGUUCGUAGGUUAGCCUUCAGACCUCAAUAAAUCUCUUUGUAAGACUCGUGUUUUCAGCUUCCUAAAGACACGCCGAGCCCCAAGUCCUGAGCCUCCUGAGCGCUGUACUCACGCAAGGGAAUAUCUCAUUAUUUGGCCGUGUAGCUGGAUUCAGCCGCACACCCUCCGCACCCCCUCCCCUCUUCAUCUCUGCUCCACUUUUAUCAGCAUUGCGUCUGUCCGAGGAAGUGAAUCCAUAGACAGCUCCAUCCUCCAUCCCUGCAGUGGCUGACGUGGGACGCACCACCUUGUCUGCGACAGAGAUGCCGGUAGCAGAGCGUUUUCCUUGUUUAGGAGAGGGGCAAGAACACCCCUACUGCACCUUGCGGGAUUGCUUGGUUUCACGCUCGCCUGUGAAAAGCAGGCGCCUUUAGGGAGGGCUCCUGGGGGAAGAGGGACGAGGAAAGGGAAGAAGCACCGGAGGACACUGCGUGGCGGUGAGGAAGGGAGCUGCCCAGCUCUCGAGGCUGUUCUGCAGCAGACGCGUCGCACGAACGAGCAGUUGGGAACGGGUGUUGCCUGCAGCCCUGGGAAGAGGCAGCAGUGAGGAAGCACGCGAUGCCCAUACGGCUACAUCCAGCGGUGCGGCAAUCCGCUCCUCCUGCGGACCUGAUCCUGAGCGUUGCUCCAGCAAGGCCAGGUAUCGUGUAACUGCAGACACGCUUGGGGCGAGUGGCUGUGAGGCACGGGCAGCCCCAAACUCACCAGGAGGGCUCUUGAGGCACAGAGGUGUGUAAGAGAAGCUGGAUUUUCCCCAUUCCCUUUCCCAGUAGAUCAGCGCAAGCAGCAAGGUGUUGGAGACCUGCUUGCUCUCACGUCCGUCAAGCACUGCAAGGCUGCAGGACACAUUUUUGACCUCAUUUGCCCCCACCAUAAAUCAGGGGCUAAGUGGUGAUGUGCUCACUGCUGGGGUCGGGACAUCUGCACCACCCUGGCCUCUCUGGUGCACACUGGGGGGCAGAUUGCCAGUCAAGGGGCUAUUCUGCUCUUGAAAUGCCUGGUUCUUUGCAAAAUAGGUAUAGAGGGAUAAGGAGCCAAGUUCAGGGAGCCAGGCCCCUCUAAACCAAAAACGGCCUCAGGGACAGAAGGGAGCAAGCCACGAGGCAAUCUGCAGUGCAGCAGGAAAGCUGCUGGCUCCCUCCAGGGGCCACCAAGAAGCCAAGGACAGCUCUGCAAGAUGCAGGUAAUGGGGAGCUGCCAGGGCCAAUCUGCACUGGGCCUGGUUCCCGACACUGGGGUGUGAAGGGGAUCAUGGAUCGAGACCCACUGUGUCAAGACGGUGCCAGCCAGCUCCUGCUCCUGGACCAGAAUCCUGUCCAGGUUUGCAGAGGAGGGAGCGCAUGGACUCUGCAGCACAAGGGACUACUAUGAUGCACAAACACUCCCUCCUCUCCCGAGAUUCCUAUGGUCCCCCUUCCAAGACAAGAGGGAAAUCAAAGAGGUCAGGUGUCUCAGACUAAACCUUCUUUCUCACACACAAAGUGCCCUCGAACGCAAGCACGCACAUUUCUCCAGUGUCCCCAGGCUGCAGCUGGGGCUCUGUAGGAUUGCCCUGAGCGCACUCCCCACUGCAGCGUGGCUACACAGCCGUGAGCCCAGAGUCUGCUGUGCUGCAUUGAGCUUGUCACGAUUGCAUACAUUCUGCAGUCACAAGAGAUGAGAGCACAAGGCAGCGAGUCAGAUCAGCUGCAGCUGGGGGAGGGAGAAGCAGGAAAGGCUGGGGACAAGCAGCCAUGGUCUCGCUUUGCACGUCUCCUUCUCGUAUACCGACCCCUGCUUGUUUAGGUAAGCCAGGACCCAAAUGCCAGAUGACGGCCAAUGUACGUCCAUAAAAAAAUACCCCUCUCUCAUCCACCGUGCUUUGUGCUCAGCAAUGGGAUCCCACGUGCUCAGGGAUGCAGUCCCACCUCUGUGCCAAAGGCAGCCCAUGAGACCUGGCUGCCUGCCAUCCUGCAGUGGCCCCCAGAUGGGGUCUCACUGUGCCCGGGUUCAGCUGGGGGCAGCUCCCCGGGCCAUACACCCUGCAGCCCCAGAGCUGCACUGUCAGCCACAGCCCUGACAUCCUGCCACAGAGCCACCUCCAGCACCGGGCACAUAUUCAGAAGGAGGAUUUAUCCAAGAGCAGAUGCACUCCUGGGCCACUCGUGGCUUUAGUGGAGCCAAGUCCUGUUUUCUGAUGGAAAAACCCCGGGAAAUAGGAACUGCGCUUUGUAACAGAGGGGUUGGGUAAGGCCAUUCUAUGACUAAGUCACCACAAAGGGCAAAUUGCCACUUUAUUUUCUCUGUGGGGUUGCCCCACACUCAGGAGAGCUACACAAUUUCCCUCACAAGGGGAAAGCACAGCAGGAUCCAAGCUGAGGGCAAGGAGGAAGGUUGGCCUUCACCCCCCCCCCCCCCCCAAGCACCCCUUCCUCGCAGUACACAAAGCACCGGUUCCCAUCCCUCAUUCACAGGCCAGCUGGCCAGGGAGCAGCUUUACGUAUGACUGCUUCAUCCUAUACAAAUCCUGCCAUCAGUCAUUAAAGACAGAUUAAAACAAAAAAAAAAAAUACAUGUCUGUGCUCUCGAAUCACCACGUAGCAGAUGGAGCUGUCCUGCAUCCCCCUGCAUGUGCCAGGAGGGCCCCGGGUUUGGGAUAUGCUGAGAAAUACACGGACGGGUUGCAGAUGGGAUAAGGAGAAACAAAUGUGGGCAGAUGAGUGAUAUCAAAGGGUGAACUUAAAAAGAAAGAGGUUAAGGGAAAGAUGUUAACAGUCAAGUGCUUAAGAAGCUGCAGUAAGGGGAGGGGACGAUGUGCCUUCCUAUAGCGAUAUAGGUAGGAACGGGCUGAACCUGAAGCAGAAAUCAUUCGGGUAGUAGGAAAAGAGCUUUGCAGUGGAAAGGAUGCAGAAGCACUGGAGCAGCCUGGGAAGGAGGAGAAAUUCCCAUCUGGGGGAGGUACGGGGGAAGGGCCUGGCAGCACUCCCUGUGCAGUGCUGGUCUCAGCAGUCCUAUGCAGGCAUCCCCAGCACACAAAGUGACUGCUCCACUGGCAUCACGCACCCAUCUGCCCCAGAACUGAAUAUCUCCCUCCUGCCAACCCCCUCCCCUCCCAUCCAUCUUUACCUUCUUUCCCGGAGCCGAAGUGUUUCUGUGUCACCACAGAGACCUGGAAAGGGAUGGCAGAAGGCAGUGCCUGUAAAAGCCCAGGGCUGCUGUCCUGCUUUGAGAACAGGGCAGAGGCAUCCCGACAGCAGCGAUCGAAUUCAAGGUGUCAUUGUCCUUUUCUUCCAGAAAGGUAAGAGCUUUCCAGAAAGACUCACAGCUCCAGGCUGCUGCGCCAGGUGUACAAUAAGAUCAAGCCCACAGAAUCAAUCCAGUUUGGGGUUAUUCCCUCACCCAAUUUGUCCCACGCCAGCUCAAAACCGACCGAUUAAGCUCUAAUACCCCCAGGUGAUGUAUCCCAAAUGCCAUCCCGGAGGGACCGCUGUUUUCUCUGCUCUCCUAAUAGGCCCCUUUCUGUGAGCAGCACACCUUGUUGGGUGCGUUUGCAGAAAUAGGAAAUCAGAGGUAACCCGAUGUGUACAGGAGGGCAUCGGCUGUAAGGCAGGUACACAUAUGGCCGUGUCUUGAAGAUGACAUGCGCAGGGGACCUGCAGAAUCAGAGAAGCAUUCAGAGAAGUUGCUCAAGGAUCCUGCCCUCCAUCUGCCCCUCUCUCCGGAGGGGUUUUGGGGUUGUCAGGAACAUUCACCUCACCUGCAGCACAGCUUUCCCAGCCCGGGCUGUGUGCUCUGAGCCUAAGCUAAGGGGCUCUGUCCAUGGGGACGGCCUCUCCACUGCACAGUCCGUGCUGCAGAGCGGCUCUCCCCAUCACACAAUGGCUGCAGGGCCAUUACAGCACAAGGAUCACCUUCAGGAGGUGUUCUCGUAGCCCUGCAGGUAACUCCACCGGCAGCUGCUUGAGCAGGCAGCACCUUCUUAAAUUCCUAUCGCCCUUCUCACAAAGGAAGAGCCGAGACAAAACCGGUUCCUGCUUAAGCGGAGGAAACAAUAGCGGGACAAAGCCACACUCCGUGCUGCAAAGGCGCGGGUGGCCGCAGGAUGGCACUCCUGCCGCUUGUCCUUGAGGGACGGGAGAGCUGUGCCGGG
rnacentral:lncRNA from 1 species